UUGUUACUUUGGAGCAAAUGGAUCUUUUGUCUGUAUAGCGUGUGUGGUCAAGCUGGGGGCCGCAGGAGACUAGCUGCGGAGACCUAUAGGAGGGACAGGACAGCCUCACAGUCACGGUCACCUCACUCCGCGGAAGAUGGUGGAAAGGAACUGGACUGGUUGGAAGUCAUUCUGCAGGCAUUCCUCACCAGACAGAAUACGCCAGACUUUGCCAAGCACGCUCACUCUUGGAACCCAGCCACCAUGCUUCAAGGAAGCCCAAACCAGCUCAUGCAGAAAGAUCACAUAGAGAGUCCCAUGAGAACGAGGAUUGAGGUCUUCAGCCAACAGCCAGCCUACACUGCCAGCCAUCGGGCCUCUUACUGUUGUGGCCUCUCCCGUAGCAGAGCACAGGUUCGGGACACGCAGGCUCAGCGGCCAUGGCUCACGGGCCCAGCCGCUCCGCGGCAUGUGGGAUCUUCCCGGACCUGGGCACGAACCCGCGUCCCCUUCAUCGGCAGGCGGACUCUCAACCACUGCACCACCAGGGAAGCCCCUAAAAGUAAAUAUUUUUAAUUCUCAGUUUCCCCUUUUGAUCUCCCUUCAACCAAACCUUCAGGAGAGACAAUAAGAGAUUGUCCAGAUGUUUGUUUGUACAAGUAUGGUUUUCAGCUGGUAUUGCCAUUUAAGUGAUUUAAGCACCAACCACUGUGGCGGAAAAAUAGCUCUAACUGAUGAAUUUUUGUAAUUUCUCCAAAAGAAGCUGAAUACAGGGCAUUUGAUGUGUCCUGACAAAGUCUAUACAGGUCAUAGGACAUGAUUAAAUACAGAGCUUGUCCCAUAUAUACAGGAUGCCUGACAACCCUAUUUAAAUAUUUUCUAGUUAAAACAAACAUUAAACAUUUUACGUAACAGUAAAAAGAUUUGCUUUCUAAAAUUAAAAAAAAAUUUAAGAUCAUUUUAUUGACCUGGGUAUCUUUAAAAACAUCAAAUUAAAUUGAGCUUAUGCCUUUUUCUCUCUCUCAUUUAAUCUCACCAAACUAUACAGACGUAUUUAAGAUCUAUUCUGCUAAAGGAGGUGCUAAUUUUUUUUUUUUUUUUUUGGCUGUGUUGGGUCUUCGUUGCUGCGCGUGGGCUUUCUCUAGUAGUGGCGAGUGGGGGCUACUCUUCGUUGCGUGUGCAGGCUUCUCAUUGCGGUGGCUUCUUUUGUUGCAGAUCACGGGCUCUAGACGUGUGGGCUUCAGCAGUUGUGGCAUGCAGGCUUAGUAGUUGUGGCGCAUGGGCUUAGUUGCUCCGUGGCAUGUGGGAUCUUCCUGGACCAGGGAUCGAACCUGUGUUCCCUGCAUUGGCAGGCAGAUUCUUAACCACUGCAGGAGGUGCUUAAUUUUUUUGAUGUUGAUGAUGGUAAUAAUUUCCUACCAAAAUGUUCUUAAAAUAAGAUCUGAGUUUGCAUGUAACGAUUUUGCUUUUGCUUACCUCUUUGUUUUUAUUCAAAGCUAUAAUUCUACUUUCUAGUGAGAAAGAUGCACCAAUAAAUAAGAGAUCAAUAAAUAUCACCAGGAAAGUGAUUAAUGCCUAAUGUUGCCUUUCUAAAACAGCAAGCUGAGAGUUUCAUAUUUCUUUAGAAGUUUUUAAAAACCAUUUAUGCAGGUCAUAAAACAAAGAUUUUUUUUCUUUUUUUUUUUUUUUGGUCAUGCUGCUUGUGGGAUCUUAGUUCGCCGACCAGGGAGUGCUAACCACUGGACUGCCAGGGAAUUCCCUAGCAAAAGCACUUUUAAAGAGGCUUCAAGAAUU